rnacentral:rRNA from 1 species
UACAGAGGUCUCAAGCGUUGUUCGGAUUCAUUGGGCGUAAAGGGUGCGUAGGCGGCGCGGUAAGUCGGGUGUGAAAUCUCGGGGCUUAACUCCGAAACUGCAUUCGAUACUGGCGAUCUUGAGUCCGGGAGAGGUGAGUGGAACUCCGAGUGUAGAGGUGAAAUUCGUAGAUAUUCGGAAGAACACCAGUGGCGAAGGCGGCUCACUGGCCCGGUACUGACGCUGAGGUGCGAAAGCGUGGGGAGCAAACAGGG